AGAGGGGGUAGAUUCCAGGUUAGCGUGAAUGCUAGAGAUGGGAGGAAACCGGGGCGAAGGCGCCCCCUGGACAAAGACGACGCUCAGGUGGAAAGCGGGGGAGCAAACAGGAUUAGAUACCCUGGUAGUCCACGCCGUAAACGAUGUCGAUUGGAGGUUGUGCCCUGAGGCGUGGCUUCCGGAGCUAACGCGUUAAAUCGACCGCCUGGGGAGUACGGCCGCAAGGUAAAACUCAAAUGAAUGACGGGGGCCCGCACAAGCGGUGGAGCAUGUGGUUUAAUUCGAUGCAACGCGAAGAACCUUACCUGGUCUUGACAUCCACAGAACUUUCCAGAGAUGGAUUGGUGCCUUCGGGAACUGUGAGACAGGUGCUGCAUGGCUGUCGUCAGCUCGUGUUGUGAAAUGUUGGGUUAAGUCCCGCAACGAGCGCAACCCUUAUCCUUUGUUGCCAGCGGUUCGGCCGGGAACUCAAAGGAGACUGCCAGUGAUAAACUGGAGGAAGGUGGGGAUGACGUCAAGUCAUCAUGGCCCUUACGACCAGGGCUACACACGUGCUACAAUGGCGCAUACAAAGAGAAGCGACCUCGCGAGAGCAAGCGGACCUCAUAAAGUGCGUCGUAGUCCGGAUUGGAGUCUGCAACUCGACUCCAUGAAGUCGGAAUCGCUAGUAAUCGUAGAUCAGAAUGCCGGGGUGAAUACGUUCCCGGCCCU
rnacentral:rRNA from 1 species